CCUGAUCAGAUGUAGAGGCAAGAGAGGGUGGACCUCGGGCGCGCCAGGCAUAAAUAGCCCGGGCCAUGCCUCCCUGACCAGCUGAUUGGCUAUGCAGGGAGCUGACGCGCCUGAGGAUUCCCUCAAUCUCCAGCCCCCGCGUUUGUGGGGAGGGUGUGGGCCCGCAACCCCACCUCCUCACCAGUUCGGAAGUGGCUUUUUCAAUGAUAAUAAAUCAGGAAAUAGAGCGGAAUAUUGAAUAUAAAACAGAAGCAAUUAGAGAAAAAGGUAGGUGCCUACAUCACUACAGAGUAUUGGUAUUAGGUUAUUGUCUCAUUCUCUCUCUCUCUCUCUCUCUCCCUCAGCCACCUAUCACAGCUUCCAAGAAUUUGGUAAAAACCAUUCAGAAACCAGAGGCCGCCGAGAGCAAGUCUCAAAAUCCAUGGGAAAACCCAAGAGCUGACCUGUCUGAAGAUUGUUCCAGAAGCAUCUGAUACUCUGAAAGUAUCUCUUUGGAUCCAGCAGGAAGCCAGAUCUACCCUCCCUGCUCCAACAUGUCUUUCCUGAAUGACAGUAUGUUCUUGGAAGACUUCUAUGAGCCAGAAAUGGAUGCUCACUCCAGCCUUGACUCCUUCUCUUAUCAGUAUCCAGGCUGCUACCCACAACGUCCACAGUUUCCUGGCCGGAGUUGGGGAUGUCCUCGGGGGUAUCGCCCCAUCACAGGGUGCAUCCCCUGCUAUCCUGGUCUGCCGUGUCCUCCAGGGUACCGUGUCAUAAGGAUUUGUGUCCCUUUUGGCCGAGCUUCCUACCAAGGAAAAGGCUGGCCAUGUUAAUCUCAGAAACAACACUGACGGAACAUCCAAGGAAGAAGAUUCUGGUCUCAAGAUUCUGAUCCUCGGCUUAAUGAAUGAACAUGGUAUUCAGAAAUGCUGAGUGCUCCAGAAUCCCCACUGUGCAACCUGUCUUGGCAUGCUUAUCUUAAGAGCAGGCUCCUGUUUCCCAGCCACACCUAUCACCUUCUAUUCUACCCAUUACUGAUGAACCAGGACCCUCUACCACAGCUACUUCAACUAUGAAAGAUACUAAGUCAACAUGGCCAAAGUGAAGACUGGUGGUAAACCCUGUUGGCUUAGCCUACAGUGAUUUAUUAGCUUUGUCUUUGUGAUGUCUACAUGUCAACAUGUCUGAUUAUUGUUUUUUCAGUGUUCCAUGUUGCAUUUAUCUCCAGCUGCCCUGAGUCAUUUCCACUGACUCCUUCCUUCAUUUUCACAUUAAAGUUUUCAGCAUAUUA